GUGCUCACUUUGGCAGCACAUAUACUAAAAUUGGAAUGAUGCAGAGAUUAGCAUAGCCCCUAUGCAAGGAUGACAUGGAAAUUCAGGAAACAUUCCAUAUUUUU